ACCUCUUUCCUCCGAACUGAGAACAUGCCCGAUCUCGUCUGAUAUUGGAAGCUAAGCAGGGUCAGACCUGGUUAAUACUUGGAUGGGAGACCACCUGGGAAUACUGGGUGCUAUAGGCU